AAAGUAUAACAUAGGGACCAAAAGUGCUAUAGGAGUACAGAAGACACAGGACUUCAUCCUAACUGGGGUGAUUCAGGGAACCAAUAUAGUGGAAGCAACAUGUGAUUUGAGUCUUAGAGAAAGAAUAGGAUUUCAACAGAAAAGCAGAACAGGAAAGAACAUCCCAAGCAUGGAGGCCAACAAAAAGGUACGGAGGCAUUUAAAUAAAACUCUACCUGUUUCUGAUGUUGAACCAGUUGACAAAGCCAAGGACUUGGGUUCUAUCAGAAUUAUCUAAGAACCUCUACAAAUGAUUUGGAACCAGAGAAGCAGAGUCCUUCAGAGCUGUCCUGAAUGAAGUCUAGUCCAGAAUGUACAAGAUAUCCAGGGACCAUACACCUACAUAAACAUCUGGGAUCCAAAAUGUACUGAUUAAAUGGAUAUUGGAAUGGGGAGACUUGAUAUUAGUUGAUGAUCAUUGUUGUAUUGCUUUAGCCUUUUGUUUCAGUGUUUCUAUUGGUGUUUUAAGUAUUCUUGGUUAUGUUGAUGACAUGUAAAUAUUCCUUCUAAAAAAUGAUUGUGAGUCCUCUAGUUUGACCUGUAACCUAAAUAAAUUCUGCUUAUGAAUAUAAGAAAAAUCUUCU
rnacentral:lncRNA from 1 species